AAAUUAUUUUUAACUCUGAUUUCUGCUUAAGCACAAGUGAUAAGUAAAAAUGAACAAUUUUGAGAUAAACAGCAUAUUGUCUCAGAAUCGAUGGGGAUGCAAGCUUGAAGCCAGUAUUGAUGGCAGUUUGAGUUAACAAACCAGCACUUCUUCUCAUUUUUGAAUACAAUUAUGUAAGCUGUUGUACUUCAGCUUAAGGCAAUUCAAGAGUUUGGCUCCUGUGUUUCCAGUUUCUCCACUUGACUGAAGUCCCACAUCCUUGAGCCUUUCCGUUGCCUUCCCAAGGUCUUGGCAUCCUGGUGAAAAUGUGCUGCCCAGAAUCGGACAUAAUACUCCAGCUGCAGCCUAACCAAUGUUUUAUAAAGCAUUCCUCUCAUUGUCAGGCAUAUUUGGGAAUUCAACUUGGUAAAGUGGAAGGAAAAGAAGACAUGAAGCAAGCUGGAUGAUCGGUGGACAUCUGCGGAGAGUAAGAAUUUCAGGCUGUAUACUAUACAUUCUCUGAUAUUAAAGGGAACUAUUCAUCACACUGCCUGUUGCCAAAAGAAGUUUGCAGAACAGUUGUCUUCUGGAGAUUUGGAUCAACACAAAUAUCCUUAUGCAGCACAGAAUGAUGUGAAUUUAAAACUGGCAAUAUUUUACGGUAGGCUGAGAUGAUUGUUGUGACUACCGCUGAUCUGAGUGGCAUGUAGGUACAGAGUUGCCCAAGCCGCUGGACCACCUGUGUAUACUGAAUCUUCAAAUAAAGCCAUGAUCAUCAGUUGCUAUGGCAAUUUGCAUGGCACAAUGCAUCACAGCAGUAAGCUAUCAGGCAUUGUGGCAUUUACACCACAGCUUUACUGAGCUUUGGGGAGAAACUGUGACGUACGGUCAAAACACAGCCCGACUGGGACGAGGAGUUAGUCUACCCCAGCACUGAUACAGUACGCACUGCCCCUGCUUGCUGACUGGGACCUUUGCCACUGUGAAAAUACUUUGAAGACGCUUUGCUAUUUGUAGCACCUCCCUAGUGAUCUAGUUAAAUUUCAUUUGUAGUAGAACAAAGAUCAAACUGGUGGAAACCAUGUUUAAUGCUUGGACUGAAUACAAUUAAUUAACAGCAGCUAAGCAUUUAAAUCACAGUGCAGAAGUACAUCUAUUUUAAGGAGAUAAUCCUGGUGUUUUGAAUUCCCCUAGAUCUGACUGAUCCCCACUCAAAUGAAUUAACACAUCUCCAGUCAGAAUAUUUGGCAUGUUCUAAAAUUAGACUCUGAUCUAAUCUAUAAAGGGGAACAUCAGCCACAAGUUCCCACCUAUUAUCUCCUUUAACCCGAUCUGUAAGCGCAGCCUUCGAAUUUGCUCUGAUAACUCUCUUGGAAAGUGUAUAACAUCGAAUAUGUCUGAUAGAUCAAUUGUGACUCAAGAGUUGUUGCAAGAGCAAUACAGCUAGACCUCCUUAAUUUUUUACCUGCAAUUUCUCCCAUUUUUGUAGAUGCCCUAUAGAAAGCAUUCUAUCCAGAUGCAUUGUAGCUUGGUUCUACCCGAGACCACAAGAAACAGCAUAGUUUAUCAAUAUUCAUGCAUGAAGAACAGCAUCUUGGUUGAGACAUCAAAAAGAAUUUGUUGAGUGUGGAGUGACUGUUCUCCAUCAAUAGAAGAUCAGUAAGAAACAGUAAACAGGAAAGGUGUGAGUGAAAUGACUUGAUUUUCUAUUCCAUGUGCACAUUUGUGUGAAGUAUAUUUCUCUUAAAUUUGCAGCUAUUUCAGCAGGCUGCCUCUGUUGUCUUAUAAGUGUAGGUUUCAUGAGUGUGUUACAUCCAAAUUGUUUCUAUUUUAAUUGGCUUUUACUUGUGUGUGGAGUUUUAAUACCACAGAAAGUAAAUAAUUUUUAAAAUUAAAGAUGACCUGAAGCCAUUAAUGUCAUGUUCUCAGAAUAUGUCACAUGGAACAAUAGGCAGUUAACAGCUAUCGCUUUCUUAGUACUUAGAUUAAGCUCUGAGUAGAAUGCCCUG